CAUGAAUUUCCCCAAUUGUCCUUGACCAGUCUUUCUACUUGAUUCAAUGGACUAACACCUUCGUGUACUACCCAAAUAGUUUGAUUCACGACAUCGAGUAUUUGCUCUUCCGACAUGGUCGGCACAAAUAUUAGACUAAGUUAUGGUUUUCCCAUGACUUUUAGCUUUAAAGCUCUCAUCUUUCUCUCUCCUCCUCCUCCUCAUGCUUCCAUGAACUGAUUUAAAGCUUGGAAGAACCGAGUCUUAGUGUCUGUCUUCUUCUUCUUCUUCUUAUUAGAAAAAACCCAACACAUCAAAAACACAGUAUGAUUGAUAAGAUGAAAAAAAAACCCACAAAUUUUAGUCCUUUUUUUCCCCCUUUUUCCCACUCCCCACUGUACUUGUUCCUCUAACUUAAAAAUCUUUCCUUUUUUGGGAAAUUUCUCUGUUCUUUUCUUUGUUUUUCUGUUUCUGUUUUUGUUUGGUUUUUUUUUUUUUUUCUCUGUUCUUCAAAUGAGUGUCGCCACUGUUUUAUCAGCUCAUCAGAACAACGACCAAAAGCAAGUGUUUAUGCUUGUUUUUGUUGUGUUAUUUUUCUCUUCUUUACCCUAAAAACCCUAAUUACUUAAAAACUUCCAUAUGGGCAGCUAGAAUUAUGAGAUUUCUUGCUUUUUUGGCAUUUUUCUUUAUAUGGGUUUCCAAAAUUUUCUCAUUUGAUUCAACCCAUUUUGCCAAAACCCCAUUUUUUCUUCCAAAGGGUUCCCUUAAAAGGGAUUCUGUACUCCCCAGGCAGAGUGUUUCACGUGUUAGUUAGGCCCCCCAGACCACCCCGGACCGCUCGGAUCCCACGAGUAAAUAGAAGCCGAAGCAAUACUAAACGAGCAGCCGUCCUAACCUGCAGGGGUCAUGUAAAUACAUAGGCAUUGGCACAUUUUCAUUAUUUUUCUUCAUUCUAUGGCGAUGGUGUUUGUAAGAUUUGAAGUUGACAGAAGAGAGUGAGCACACAGAGGCUUUUGGUAUGAUUAUAUGCCAUUGCUCUUGCGUGCUCACUUCUCUUUCUGUCAGCUUCCAUCGCCAAUUCCUUCUUUCUUCUCUUUUUUUGCCUAAUUUUUGUUUGAAAUGAAGUUUCUGCUAUUGUUUUUGUUAUAUUUUUCUUGGUUUUGAUGAUUUUUUUUUUAUGUAAUUUCACUGUAUGGAAUCGGCUACUGUACAUUGUUAAUGGUAAUGGACUCUCCAAUAAUGCUUCAAUUUCCAGACAAGAAUUGCUCACGUCGCGGCGAUUCGAACAAUUCAUUGAACUAUUCAAUCAAGCGACAAACGAUGUGUAUAAAGGGCAAGUCGAACCUUCUCCUCCUCAUGUCGCGGUGAUCCGAACAAUUCAUUGAACUAUUCAAUCAAUAGGAGAGGCAAGCGGUGUGUACAAAGGGCAGGUCGAACCUCCUCCUCCUCCUUACCCUUUUUGAGGAUUUUUGAAACAAGGAAACUGGUAAUCUUUUUACUGUUUUUUACUUAAUUUUGUUUUGAAGAUCUUAUCCUACAUUUGAAGACAGUCGAACGUGAAAUUGCAGUGACAAGAAGUAAUCGGAACUUUUUUGUAUUAACUUAAUUUUGGAAUUCAAUUAUUACAUCAUUGACUACUUUUACAUCUUUUUGUUUUGGUGCUAAUAUUUUAACUCAUUAUAUUGGCUAAAGGACCAAUAUAAGUUAUUAGAUCUUGCCUUCUUGAUGUAUGCUCAUCUUUUCUUUGUUCAAACUGUUUGUACUUGUUGAUUCGAUUUGAUUUUGAUCUAAUUUUAUGGUGUAUGGUUGGCAUUAAAAUUAGAAUAAUCACGUGAUUCAGAAAUUUAACUACGAGAAAUUGUCAUUUGUGGUAAAGACUCUACUUUAGUUAGUGUUAGGAGCUUAGGCAACUGAGGUAAUAGAUCUUUUCUAUUGAUGAGAGAUCAAACUUUGAAUUUUACGAAUCUGUUGCAACUUUUACAUUAAUUUAUGUGUUUGUUUCGAUAUUUGGUUGGCGAUAUCACUUGCAAGAUCUUUUUUUGUUUGUUUGUGUGUUUCAAUUACUCUUCUAGUACUUUUUUAUGGUCCUAUAUAUGGUUUAAAUGUUUCUCACAGCUUCUCUGUUAGCUUUUGUGAGCAGGUAAUGCUUUUGAAUGGAUCAAUUCCUUGGAUAAAUUUGGUUUGCUCUACAUUCUAUAGAUAUACUUCUUCAAAGCUUUAAUCGCUUUCUUGGGCUAUUGAAAUAUAACAAUGCUUAUUUCAUAAUCUUUCUUCACAAGGAAGUUAAAGUGGGUUCAUUGGUACAUGAUUUUGUAAGUAUGUUCAUUUCAAGAUAUUAACUGUCUAUGAACCAUUUGAUACUAA